rnacentral:lncRNA from 1 species
GUUUCUUUGUUAUUCUCUGCUCAAAAACAUCAUCCACCCAACACCUACCAAAUCAAUUAAUAUUGGAAGGAAACUCUUUCCUUUUGUUUUUCCUUCAUUCUCCCUCCUGCCAAACACAAUCAGACAAUACUGCAGUGAUGGUGAUACUUAGCUUCUCUUCUCCUACUUACUAAAAAAUAUAAUCUAAACAGGUAAAUUCUUCUUCGGCUUGUCAGUUUGAUUUUGUAUCGAAUAAAUCUAGGUUUAUUCAAUUCGGAUUUAAGUUGUUUUGGAUUUACGCGGUUUGAGUUUAAAAGUCUGGGUCAUUAUAAUAAUUUACUCAGACCAUAUUUUUUAGUUCAAAUUGAUCGAUAUAGGUUUUCGAGUUUUAGUCCAAAUUUACAGGUGUAAAACAAUCCCAUAUCUAUCCUCUUAGUACUGAGUACUGACCCACGCCCUUCUCUCUUUCAUUCCCUUCAAAAGUACCAAAGAGGGGGAAGAAGUAAUCCAGCCAUCUGUAUACACAUAUGUACAAAAGCAAAAUGAAACUAAAAUAUUUGGAAUUAAAAGCUUUAAAAUUAAACAAUUUUACAAACGUAGAGAAUCAAGCUAACAACUUGACAGCUCCUCUUUUGCUUGCAUUUGUAUGUCUAUCAAUACCCAAAACAAGGGAAAGAAGUUUUACGAGAAAAAUAAUACAGUUACAGCUACAUAUCAAGGGAAUUACAUACAAUCCCUUUCGCUAGGUUGUUUCCUCAAAAAGAAAAAAAGAAUGCAAAACAUGCAAUUAUUCUGUUGACUAAUGACCUUUCCGAGUUGUGUAUAGGAAGUUGUAUUUUUAAGGCAGUGGUAUUAUGUAUGCUUAAUCCUUCAUAUUGCAAUCAAAUUUUGUUUCCUAGAACUUUGAAAAGUUUUAUGUAAUCUUUUGUGUUUCUUUUCCCCAGACAUUGAUGAUCCUUACACAAGGAGAAGCAAUGUUUACUAUAUCUUGUCUGCGCAUUGUCCUGUUCUUGGAUCAUGACAUUUUGGCUCUGGCAAACAAUAUUCCAGCAAAUAAACCUGGAAGAAGCAUGCAUU